GAUCCUGGCUCAGAUUGAACGCUGGCGGAAUGCUUUACACAUGCAAGUCGAGCGGCAGCGCGGGGCAACCUGGCGGCGAGCGGCGAACGGGUGAGUAAUACAUCGGAACGUGCCCAGACGUGGGGGAUAACUACUCGAAAGAGUGGCUAAUACCGCAUACGAUCUACGGAUGAAAGCGGGGGAUCGCAAGACCUCGCGCGUCUGGAGCGGCUGAUGGCAGAUUAGGUAGUUGGUGGGAUAAAAGCCUACCAAGCCAACGAUCUGUAGCUGGUCUGAGAGGAUGAUCAGCCACACUGGGACUGAGACACGGCCCAGACUCCUACGGGAGGCAGCAGUGGGGAAUUUUGGACAAUGGGCGAAAGCCUGAUCCAGCCAUUCCGCGUGCAGGAUGAAGGCCCUCGGGUUGUAAAACUGCUUUUGUACAGAACGAAAAAGCUCUGGCUAAUACCUGGAGUCCAUGACGGUACUGUAAGA
rnacentral:rRNA from 1 species